CUUACCUGAUUUUACAAGGACUGACUGUGGCCACCACCUUGCUGGUGGGGGCAGGCCUCAUGCAGCCAGCCCCCUUUGACCUGGGAAGGAGCUCCAGACAUUGGGCCACAGCAGGUGCUCUGGACUCUAUACCUGGCACUUUCCCGCGCCCCGGAGACCUGCCUGCCCCCACCCAGCUACUGUUGUGGUUUGCAGGGGAAGUGGCCCCCAGAGACUCAUGCCUUUGAACUCCUGGUCACCAGCUGGUGGCACUCUUUUGAAAGGCUGUGUGCCUUUAGGAGGCAGACCUCACUGGAGGAGGGGCUAACAGUUGAGAGAUGGCCUUGAGUCUCAGGAGAGGCUUGUACUCCUGAACACUGUUGGUUGGAACUGUUAAUGAUCAUGGGUGCCUUUGAAGUUGGAAUGGGUAUAGUUUGCAUUAUGAAGUGGCCAUGAGCCUGUGGGGGCCAGGGGCACAAUGUAGUGGUUAGAAUGUAUAGGCUCAUGGGGUUGAAUGCUCACUCCUUGGCUGGUGGCACUCUUUUGGAAGGUUGUAGAACCUUCGAGAGGUGGAACGUUGCUGGAAGAAGGGAAUCAGUGGGGCUGGGUCUUGUGCUUCCAUAGCCCGGGCCAACUUUCUCAUCCUCUCUGUGCUUCCCAGCUGUGAUGCAGAGUGGUCAGCCUUCUUACACCACUGCCACCACGCCUUCCCUGCUACAACAGACUGUAUCCCCUCAGACUGCAAAGACAAUAAACCUUUCUUGCUUUAAA